AAGCUCCCUUCGGGGAGCAAGUAGAGUGGCGCACGGGUGAGUAACACGUAGGUAAUCUACCUUUGGAUGGGGAAUAACAACCGGAAACGGUUGCUAAUACCGCAUAAUGCAGCGGCACCUAAUGGUGACAGUUGUUAAAGCGGGGGAUCGCAAGACCUCGCGUCUGAAGAGGAGCCUGCGGCAGAUUAGCUAGUUGGUAAGGUAACGGCUUACCAAGGCGAUGAUCUGUAGCCGGCCUGAGAGGGCGGUCGGCCACACUGACGCUGACAUACGGGUCAGACUCCUACGGGAGGCAGCAGUCGGGAAUUUUGGGCAAUGGGCGAAAGCCUGACCCAGCAACGCCGCGUGAAGGAUGAAAUCCCUCGAGAUGUAAACUUCGCAAGAACGGGAAGAAUAAGUAAGAGUUAAUAUCUCUUACGAUGACGGUACUGUUUGUAAGCUCCGGCUAACUCCGUGCCAGCAGCCGCGGUAAUACGGGGGGAGCAAGCGUUGUUCGGAUUUACUGGGCGUAAAGGGCGCGUAGGCGGCCUCUGCAAGUCGACUGUGAAAUCUCCGGGCUUAACCCGGAAAGGUCAGCCGAUACUGCAGGGCUAGAGUGCAGAAGGGGCAACUGGAAUUCUCGGUGUAGCGGUGAAAUGCGUAGAUAUCGAGAGGAACACCUGCGGCGAAGGCGGGUUGCUGGGCUGACACUGACGCUGAGGCGCGAAAGCUAGGGGAGCGAACGGGAUUAGAUACCCCGGUAGUCCUAGCCUUAAACGAUGAAUGCUUGGUGUCUGGGGUUUUAUAGUCCCCGGGUGCCGUCGCUAACG
rnacentral:rRNA from 1 species